rnacentral:rRNA from 1 species
UACGGGGGGGGGCAAGCGUUGUUCGGAAUUACUGGGCGUAAAGGGCUCGUAGGCGGCCAACUAAGUCAGACGUGAAAUCCCUCGGCUUAACCGGGGAACGGCGUCUGAUACUGGAUGGCUUGAAUCCGGGAGAGGGAUGCGGAAUUCCAGGUGUAGCGGUGAAAUGCGUAGAUAUUGGGAGGAACACCAGUGGCGAAGGCGGCUCACUGGACCGGAACUGACGCUGAGGCGCGAAAGCGUGGGGAGCAAACAGG